rnacentral:rRNA from 1 species
UACGUAGGGGGCAAGCGUUGUCCGGAAUCAUUGGGCGUAGAGAGCGUGUAGGCGGCUCGAUAAGUCUGCUGUGAAAGUCCAGGGCUCAACCCUGGAAGGCCGGUGGAAACUGUCGGGCUAGAGUCCGGAAGAGGCGAGUGGAAUUCCCGGUGUAGCGGUGAAAUGCGCAGAUAUCGGGAGGAACACCAAUGGCGAAGGCAGCUCGCUGGGACGGUACUGACGCUGAGACGCGAAAGCGUGGGGAGCAAACAGG